UAGGGAAUCUUCGGCAAUGGACGAAAGUCUGACCGAGCAACGCCGCGUGAGUGAAGAAGGUUUUCGGAUCGUAAAACUCUGUUGUUAGAGAAGAACAAGGACGUUAGUAACUGAACGUCCCCUGACGGUAUCUAACCAGAAAGCCACGGCUAACUACGUGCCAGCAGCCGCGGUAAUACGUAGGUGGCAAGCGUUGUCCGGAUUUAUUGGGCGUAAAGCGAGCGCAGGCGGUUUCUUAAGUCUGAUGUGAAAGCCCCCGGCUCAACCGGGGAGGGUCAUUGGAAACUGGGCUACUUGAGUGCAGAAGAGGAUAGUGGCCUUCCAUGUGUAGCGGUGCCAUGCGUAUAUAUAUGGAGGAACACCAGUCGCGAAGGCCGCUCUCUGGUCUGUAACUGACGCUGAGGCUCGAAAGCGUGGGGAGCAAACAGG
rnacentral:rRNA from 1 species